UACGUAGGGUGCGGGCGUUAAUCGGAAUUACUGGGCGUAAAGCGUGCGCAGGCUGCCUCUUAAGUCAGAUGUGAAAUCCCCGGGCUUAACCUGGGAACUGCGUUUGAAACUGGGAGGCUUGAGUGUGGAAGAGGGGGGUGGAAUUCCAGGUGUAGCAGUGAAAUGCGUAGAGAUCUGGAGGAACACCGAUGGCGAAGGCAGCCCCCUGGGCUAACACUGACGCUCAUGCACGAAAGCGUGGGGAGCAAACAGG
rnacentral:rRNA from 1 species